rnacentral:rRNA from 1 species
GACGAACGCUGGCGGCGUGCUUAACACAUGCAAGUCGAACGGAAAGGCCCCUUUGGGGGUACUCGAGUGGCGAACGGGUGAGUAACACGUGAGUAACCUGCCCUUGACUUCGGGAUAACUUCAGGAAACUGGGGCUAAUACCGGAUAGGAAUCCUUGCUGCAUGGUGGGGGUUGGAAAGCUUCGGCGGUUUUGGAUGGACUCGCGGCUUAUCAGCUUGUUGGUGGGGUAGUGGCUUACCAAGGCUUUGACGGGUAGCCGGCCUGAGAGGGCGACCGGCCACAUUGGGACUGAGGUACGGCCCAGACUCCGACGAGAGGCAGCAGUGGGGAAUAUUGCACAAUGGGCGGAGGCCUGAUGCAGCAACGCCGCGUGCGGGAUGACGGCCUUCGUGUUGUAAACCGCUUUCAGCAGGGGCGAAGCUUGUGGUGACGGUACCUGCAGAAGAAGCACCGGCUAACUACGUG